GACGAACGCUGGCGGCGUGCUUAACACAUGCAAGUCGAACGGAAAGGCCCUGCUUUUGUGGGGUGCUCGAGUGGCGAACGGGUGAGUAACACGUGAGUAACCUGCCCUUGACUUUGGGAUAACUUCAGGAAACUGGGGCUAAUACCGGAUAGGAGCUCCUGCUGCAUGGUGGGGGUUGGAAAGUUUCGGCGGUUGGGGAUGGACUCGCGGCUUAUCGGCUUGUUGGUGGGGUAGUGGCUUACCAAGGCUUUGACGGGUAGCCGGCCUGAGAGGGUGACCGGCCACAUUGGGACUGAGAUACGGCCCAGACGCCUACGGGAGGCAGCAGUGGGGAAUAUUGCACAAUGGGCGGAAGCCUGAUGCAGCAACGCCGCGUGCGGGAUGACGGCCUUCGGGUUGUAAACCGCUUUCGCCUGUGACGAAGCGUGAGUGACGGUAAUGGGUAAAGAAGCACCGGCUAACUACGUG
rnacentral:rRNA from 1 species